CAUAGUUUUCAAUGCACUUUGGUAGAUUGCACCAGUGUGUUGUGUGAUGGCUGCGAUCAUAUCCAGAAGAAGAUGUAGACUGGAAUCUGCAUAAGACAUCUGUGUUUUGCAGCAGGGAUACAGCAGCUCUAGUCUAUAGUCAUGACUGCAAGUCUUCACCAAUACAGAUUGCUAUGAAACUGGUCCCUCAAAGGUGGAAAUUCUGAAGAUAAAAAAAAAUCAUAUCAAAGGGCUUUGGGAAUUUUGGCAGAUCGUGUUCAUCUCCCCUCUGCAGUUUACCAGAAGCUUUGGGAACUCUUCUCCCUACUUCUCCUCAUUGCAAAGGUUACUGUUGUAAUGAAAAUAGAAGCAAGCAAAAAUUUUUAAUAAAUAAAUAAAUACAGAAUAUCUGUAACUGUGCAAGAGAAUAUACUAAUCAUAGCAGUGAAAGAUACUCUUACACAUAAAAAGAGAUCCACAUAUCCAAAUAUAGGGCUGACCUAUAUUUACUCAUGCUAAAGAAGCCUUGUCUACUCCAGGUAGUUGCCAAGAGAAAAAAGUGACUCAAAAGCACAAAAAUAAACCAAACCAAACAAAAAAGAAAUGUUACCACUAUUGAGUUUGGAAAUGUAUAGAAUAGACUUUCCCAACUUGAUUCAUUCCUGAUGUUAUAAAUGCAGAAUGUUAACUCUGAGAGUAGCAGUUCCAAUAUACAGAAGGUAUAUAGCCGAGAAUGAGGAAAUAUACUACAUAAAUAUCAGAGGUCCAUUUAUUUUGGGAUUGUGCUUAAUAGGUAAUUACAAAGCCUUCAUUUUUUUCCUCUCUCAAGACAUUAAGCUAUAAAACUUUUCAUUAGCCUUCCACAGAGAAUUUUUCUUUUAGCUGUCUCUAGACCUAGUGUGGCUGUGUGACAAAUAGGUUUUGUAUGCAUGUGCUCUCUCUCACAUACUCUUCAUGUCAUCUUAAAGCAGCCUCCAAUUCUCCUUAAUUAAUCUAGAUAUAGG